rnacentral:snoRNA from 1 species
AUGYCACUGCGUAUACGCCGCUGCCCAGCCUUGGCAGCAUGUCGUCCGAAAGGCAUGGCAGACGC